GGAAGGUGGGGAGGACCAUGAGAUGGUAGUCGUGGACCCAGACGAAGUCGUCGUCGGGGUUGAUCACCUCCAGGAUCUUGUCGGCGAAGAUCUUGUUCACGGAGACGUAGGCCUGCCACAGGGAGCGGUCGAAGCGUCCGCCGAGGUCGGGGGACAUGGGAAGCAUGUAGUGGAACAGGGGCCAGAGCUGCUGCUUGCAGAAGCCGUGGUAGUAGCGGGCGAGGAGGUCGGGCGGCAGGAAGGCCGGCACGCACUUGAAGGACUCGAGCAGGACCUGGCCGACGUCGUCCUGGUCGGCCGGCGGGAUCUCGUCGCGAAGGCAGCCCACGUAGAAGAACUCCAUGUCGGCGCCGCGGUCGCCGAUGGCGUCCUUGAGCUGGAGGAGGAGGGAGUCCUCGUCCCAGGAGAAGUCCCAGCCGCGGCCGUCCGGGCGGCGGCGGGCGCGGAUGGGGAGUUGGUUGGCGACGACGAUGGUGCGGUCGCGGGUGGUGGAAGAGGGGCCGGUGGCGGAGCCGUCGGAGUCGGAGUCGGAGUCGAGGUCGGAGAUGAUGCCGGCGACGGUCAUCACGCGGGGGAUCCGCCGGCGGAUCUGGCUGAUAGAGGGAGGCUCGCCGGAGGCUAGCUCGAGGAGGUUUGAGUAAGACCGCGACACCAUUUUUUCCGGCGAUUAGAGAUCAAAGAAAGGAUCUUUCCGGCUCAGCAAAGCCUCGACCGAAUCAAAUAGCCAGUACUCAUCGAAAUCCCAGCUCAGAACAUAUCAAAGCGAGAGAAAAAGGAUUU
rnacentral:lncRNA from 1 species